rnacentral:rRNA from 1 species
GAUGAACGCUGGCGGCGUGCCUAAUACAUGCAAGUAGAACGCUGAAGGAGGAGCUUGCUCUUCUGGAUGAGUUGCGAACGGGUGAGUAACGCGUAGGUAACCUGCCUGGUAGCGGGGGAUAACUAUUGGAAACGAUAGCUAAUACCGCAUGACAACAGUUAUUGCAUGAUAACUGUUUAAAAGGGGCAACUGCUCCACUACCAGAUGGACCUGCGUUGUAUUAGCUAGUUGGUGAGGUAACGGCUCACCAAGGCGACGAUACAUAGCCGACCUGAGAGGGUGAUCGGCCACACUGGGACUGAGACACGGCCCAGACUCCUAUGGGAGGCAGCAGUAGGGAAUCUUCGGCAAUGGACGGAAGUCUGACCGAGCAACGCCGCGUGAGUGAAGAAGGUUUUCGGAUCGUAAAGCUCUGUUGUAAGAGAAGAACGAGUGUGAGAGUGGAAAGUUCACACUGUGACGGUAUCUUACCAGAAAGGGACGGCUAACUACGUG